rnacentral:tRNA from 1 species
UGAGGUGUGGCUCAGUGGUAGAGCACUCACUUAGCACGUGUAAGGCACUGGGUUCGAUCCUCAGAACCACAA